rnacentral:sRNA from 1 species
GGCAACCGCAGGCUCGCGGCGGGCGCUGGGCGCGGGAUCCGACUCUAGUCGUAAUGGAGGCGGGCGGCUUUCUGGACUCGCUCAUUUACGGAGCAUGCGUGGUCUUCACCCUUGGCAUGUUCUCCGCCGGCCUCUCGGACCUCAGGCACAUGCGAAUGACCCGGAGUGUGGACAACGUCCAGUUCCUGCCCUUUCUCACCACGGAAGUCAAGCUAAGGUGAUUCAAACUAAAUCAACCCAAUGUCUCUCCUACCCACUCACCAUUGCUACCCUUCUCACCUCUGCCUCCUGGUGCCUCUAUGGGUUUCGACUCAGAGAUCCCUAUAUCAUGGUGUCCAACUUUCCAGGAAUCGUCACCAGCUUUAUCCGCUUCUGGCUUUUCUGGAAGUACCCCCAGGAGCAAGACAGGAACUACUGGCUCCUGCAAACCUGAGGCUGCUCAUCUGACCACUGGGCACCUUAGUGCCAACCUGAACCAAAGAGACCUCCUUGUUUCAGCUGGGCCUGCUGUCCAGCUUCCCAGGUGCAGUGGGUUGUGGGAACAAGAGAUGACUUUGAGGAUAAAGGGACCAAAGAAAAAGCUUUACUUAGAUGAUUGAUUGGGGCCUAGGAGAUGAAAUCACUUUUUAUUUUUUAGAGAUUUUUUUUUUAAUUUUGGAGGUUGGGGUGCUAUCUUUAGAAUAUGCCUUAAAAGGCCGGGCGCGGUGGCUCACGCCUGUAAUCUCAGCACUUUGGGAGGCCAAGGUGGGCGGAUCGCCUGAGGUCAGGAGUUCAAGACCAACCUGACUAACAUGGUGAAACCCCAUCUCUACUAAAAAUACAAAAUUAGCCAGGCAUGGUGGCACAUGCCUGUAAUCCCAGCUACUUGGGAGGCUGAGGCAGGAGAAUUGCUUGAACCCAGGAGGUGGAGGUUGCAGUGAGCUGAGAUCGUGCCAUUGUGAUAUGAAUAUGCCUUAUAUGCUGAUAUGAAUAUGCCUUAAAAUAAAGUGUUCCCCACCCCUG